GGAGGGACAACCAUAGAUAUCUUAUAUAAACUAGAUAGCGCAUCUCUUUUAGUAAAAUUGAAGCCAAGAAUAUCUCAGCGGUUACCCCCAUUUGAAUAGAUGGCGGCCAUGUUGGAGCUUCCCACUCGCUAAUAAACGCUUAAAAAAUAACAAUAACUUUCAUCAUUUGAAUAGUUUGAAAAUGUAUUUAUAAUAGGAUUAACUUAAUGUUUAAGUUGCCUGUUUAAGAAAUAGGAUACAUACGAAUCUUCUCAUUUCAUGGGAAGAUCCUGAGCCUGCAAUCACGGCUUCAAUUUUUGAAUUGCAGAAUAAUUAGAUGCGCUAUCUAGUGUAUAUAAGAUAUCUAUGGGGACA